rfam:Exophiala xenobiotica strain CBS 118157 unplaced genomic scaffold supercont1.5, whole genome shotgun sequence.
GGAGAGAUGGCCGAGUUGGUUAUGGCGUCAGGUUAAGGCUUUGAAGUCUUAGCUCCUCAGUAUCCAGCAAUGGAUAGACGUUUCCUGAUGGGAGUAAUCCCGUACGUUCUAUCUUCUCCUCCUCUGAUUCUUGCAUGUCCUAACAAUCCUAGGCGUGGGUUCGAAUCCCACUCUCUUCA